rnacentral:miRNA from 1 species
AUCACAUUGAUCCCUCGCUAACCUUCCCUGGCUGGGAGGCGGGCGGGCGGGCGAGGAGCGAGCGGAGCGGAGGCGAGCGGGGAC